rnacentral:rRNA from 1 species
AUGCAUGCAUGCUCCGGCCGUCGAUCCCCGGCCGGCCACCACGCAGACACGAAAACACCAGCCGUCCUCGUCCUCGGCACGCUCAAGUGGCAGAUGAUCGCCGGCACCCCGUUCCCGUACCUGAGCUGCUUCGCAGCCAGGUUCCGGCACGACGAGCGCAAGGCCAUCGUCCUGCGCGCCGUCAAGUGCAUCUUCGCCUCCAUCAAAGGUCAGACCACCCCCUGCUCCCGUUCCACCCCAUCAUCCCAUCGGAUCGGAUCAUGA